CAAAAGAUUUGUACUAAGUCCCUGUUAAACAAUUGGAAAAAAUGCCAAACUGGCAUGAAACUAACGGCUGUCCACAAUCAGCCUGUGCACCUUCCACCUCACCUCCCACAGGUCUGCCUUUUUCCUGAAGCUACUUCUGCCUGGAAUGGCCUUCUUCUUUCUACAUGCUCAAAUCCCGUGCUCACUUCAGGUUGCAACUCAAAUGUUAUUUCCUAAGACCAAAAGUAGGUUUCCUUCCUUUGAUCUUGACUUAUAGCAUAUAAUUAGAUCUUUUUAAAAGCUCUUGACUUUCUACUUUAUAAUGUACUUAUUUGUGAACAUGUUUAUCGCCCUUUAAUUCCCUAAGGUGAAAGGCCACAUCUUACUUGUUUUGAGGUGGAUCCCUUUCAUUAGGUCUUGCACUUUAUAGAAACUCAGUAUUUAAUUAAUAGCUAAUGCAUAUUUUAUGGGGUUCUUAUGCAAUCCACAUAUUACUCUGCUCUUUCUUCUAUGCCACAAAAGUAACCUGAAAGACAGUCAAGAGAACAAAUGUGUCCCCAGCACCAAGCAGUGCCUGACAUACAGUCAUUACAAGCUAUUAAACUGAACAGAAGGAGAAGUGCAUCUUAUUAGCCAAGGGAGGAAGGGUUUCCAAUGGGGGGACAGUGAUAGUGUCCAGUCCUUCAGAGGGUGGGGAAUGCAGGGCCAUGGCUCCCACUGAAUUUGGGAACUAGAAAUAGUGAGUGGAGACAGAAGCCAGACAGAAAAAGUUAAGGAAUAGCACAUGAGGAAAUGGAAGAAAUGAGUAUAGAUUAUUUUUUCAAGAAACCUAACCAGAAUAAUGGGAAGAAAAAAUGGCAUAUGAUGCACAUCUGAUCUCAUGGUCAUCUGCUUCUGAGGUGCAAAGAACCUGGACCAGUCCACAUGUGAAAGCAACAGAAAGGGCUGGCUCAGAGGUGUUAAAAAAGUGAAAAAUGACACAAUUCACGCUCCUCACCAAUCACAGAGCCUUGUAGUCAAGUGCCCAGUAUGCUGUGCUCAUGUCUAUGCACCAUAUUGUCAAGAUAGAAAUUAUGAUGGUUAAUUUUACAUGUCAGCAUGGGUGGCCCACAGUGCCCAACUAUGUGGUCAAACACUAUGCUAGGUGUUUCUGUAAGAGUGUUUUUGGAUGAAAUCAGCAUUUAACUCGGUAACUUGAAGAGAAGCAGAUUGUCCUCCAUAAUGUGGGCACCUUCAUCCAAUCAUUUGAGGCCCUGAAUAGACCAGAAGACUGGCCUCCCCAAGCAAGAGGGAAUUCUGCAGCAACAUCAGCUCUCUUAUUUCUCCAGCCUGCUGCUCACCCUAUAGAUUUUGGAUUUGCCAGCCUCCAUAAUCAUUUCUGACUAGAGAAGAACUAUGGUCAAGACAUUCAAAGCUGUGCCUGCUUACUCUUAAUGAAGAGGAUCCUGGGCCUCAUCUCUUAUAAGGAGUGUUGUCUAGAAGUUAAAAUUUUCCCUCCUUAGUUGAUUAAUAUAUUUUCAAGUAUAUCAAAAGGACUUGGAAUUGGAUUUAAAAAUUCCAAGCUUAAGAAACCCUUUGAAAAGCAGAUUUUAAGACAGGAUUAGAUUUGUAGGAGAUUUACUGAGGGAAAUGCCUGUGAAGAAUAAACAGAGGUCGCAGAAGUAGGCAAAGAGAGCCUUUAGAUACUGAUGCAGGUCUGACACCUGUGAAAGGAGUGGAGUGGGGAAGGAAUAUCCAUCAAGAAAAGUCUCAACUCAGCACAGCUCUGAGAAAAUUUCAAGCAAGCUAAUGGGGAGUCCCUGAGUCAAAAUUACCCAUAAGAGGGGUCCUGUAUCCCACAGAAAUUAUCCAGCAUUCAUUUGGAAAUGUGACUCUGAAUAACCAAAACUGUCUUGAAAAAAAAAGAAAAGUUGGAGGACUCACUCUUCCCAAUUUCAAAACUCACCACAAAGCUACAUACAGUUCAAUGGGGAAAGAAUAGCCUUCUUAAAAAAAUGGUCCAGGAACAGAUGGAUACCCAUACCAAAGAAUGAAAUUGGACCUCUGCCUCAUACCAUAUAUAUAAAAAUUUACUCAAAAUGGAUUACAGUGCAGAAUGUAAGAGCUAAAACUAUAUACAUAACUGUAAAUAUGUUAUGAUCUUGGGUUAGAGAAAGGUUACUUAGAUAUGAUACAAAGAACAAGAAAAAAAAGAAAAUUGGACUGCAUCAAAAUUUUAAACAUUUCAGUUUU